UGGGGAAUUUUGGACAAUGGGCGAAAGCCUGAUCCAGCAAUGCCGCGUGUGUGAAGAAGGCCUUCGGGUUGUAAAGCACUUUUGUCCGGAAAGAAAUCCUUGGCUCUAAUACAGUCGGGGGAUGACGGUACCGGAAGAAUAAGCACCGGCUAACUACGUGCCAGCAGCCGCGGUAAUACGUAGGGUGCAAGCGUUAAUCGGAAUUACUGGGCGUAAAGCGUGCGCAGGCGGUUUGCUAAGACCGAUGUGAAAUCCCCGGGCUCAACCUGGGAACUGCAUUGGUGACUGGCAGGCUAGAGUAUGGCAGAGGGGGGUAGAAUUCCACGUGUAGCAGUGAAAUGCGUAGAGAUGUGGAGGAAUACCGAUGGCGAAGGCAGCCCCCUGGGCCAAAUACUGACGCUCAUGCACGAAAGCGUGGGGAGCAAACAGGAUUAGAUACCCUGGUAGUCCACGCCCUAAACGAUGUCAACUAGUUGUUGGGGAUUCAUUUCCUUAGUAACGUAGCUAACGCGUGAAGUUGACCGCCUGGGGAGUACGGUCGCAAGAUUAAAACUUAAAUGAAUUGA
rnacentral:rRNA from 1 species